rnacentral:rRNA from 1 species
CUACGGGUUGCUGCAGUAAGGAAUAUUGCGCAAUGGAGGCAACUCUGACGCAGCCAUGCCGCGUGCAGGAAGAAGGCCUUAUGGGUCGUAAACUGCUUUUAUUUAGGAAUAAACCCCCGAACGUGUUCGGGGCUGAAGGUACUAAACGAAUAAGCACCGGCUAACUCCGUGCCAGCAGCCGCGGUAAUACGGAGGGUGCAAGCGUUAUCCGGAUUUAUUGGGUUUAAAGGGUGCGCAGGCGGGCUAUUAAGUCAGUGGUGAAAUCCCGGGGCUCAACUCCGGAACUGCCAUUGAUACUGAUAGUCUUGAGUUUGGUUGAAGUGGGCGGAAUGUAGCAUGUAGCGGUGAAAUGCAUAGAUAUGCUACAGAACACCAAUCGCGAAGGCAGCUCACUAAGCCAAAACUGACGCUCAUGCACGAAAGCGUGGGGAUCAAACAGGAUUAGAUACCCUGGUAGUC